UACGGGGGGAGCAAGCGUUGUUCGGAUUUACUGGGCAUAAAGGGCGCGUAGGCGGCCACCGCAAGUCGGUUGUGAAAUCUCUGGGCUUAACCCAGAAAGGUCAACCGAUACUGCGGGGCUAGAGUGCAGAAGGGGCAACUGGAAUUCUCGGUGUAGCGGUGAAAUGCGUAGAUAUCGAGAGGAACACCUGCGGCGAAGGCGGGUUGCUGGGCUGACACUGACGCUGAGACGCGAAAGCGUGGGGAGCGAACAGG
rnacentral:rRNA from 1 species